GACAGAGGUGCCGAGCGUUAGGCGGAAUCACUGGGCUUAAAGCGUGUGUAGGCGGGCGGCAAGUACCUUGUGAAAUCCCACGGCUCAACCGUGGAACGGCUGGGUAUACUGCCUGUCUUGAGCCAACUAGGGGCGAGCGGAACAGACGGUGGAGCGGUGAAAUGCGUAGAUAUCGCUUGGAACGCCAAUGGUGAAAACAGCUUGCUGGGGUGUGCUGACGCUGGAGACACGAAAGCCAGGGAGCAAACGGG
rnacentral:rRNA from 1 species